rnacentral:rRNA from 1 species
GUAACACGUAAAGAACCUGCCCUCAGGUCUGGGAUAACCACGAGAAAUCGGGGCUAAUACCGGAUGGGUCAUCGGACCGCGUGGUCCGAGGAUGAAAGGCGCUUCGGCGUCGCCUGGGGAUGGCUUUGCGGUGCAUUAGCUAGUUGGUGGGGUAAUGGCCCACCAAGGCGACGAUGCAUAGCCGACCUGAGAGGGUGAUCGGCCACACUGGGACUGAGACACGGCCCAGACUCCUACGGGAGGCAGCAGUAGGGAAUCUUCCACAAUGGACGAAAGUCUGAUGGAGCAACGCCGCGUGAACGAUGAAGGCCUUCGGGUCGUAAAGUUCUGUUGUAAGGGAAGAACAAGUGCCGCAGGCAAUGGCGGCACCUUGACGGUACCUUGCGAGAAAGCCACGGCUAACUACGUGCCAGCAGCCGCGGUAAUACGUAGGUGGCAAGCGUUGUCCGGAAUUAUUGGGCGUAAAGCGCGCGCAGGCGGCCUCUUAAGUCUGAUGUGAAAGCCCCCGGCUCAACCGGGGAGGGCCAUUGGAAACUGGGAGGCUUGAGUAUAGGAGAGAAGAGUGGAAUUCCACGUGUAGCGGUGAAAUGCGUAGAGAUGUGGAGGAACACCAGUGGCGAAGGCGACUCUUUGGCCUAUAACUGACGCUGAGGCG